UCUUGGUGCUCUUGUGAAAGCUUCUUGAGGAUGGCUGGGCAGGAGGGGGCAGUGGAGCGCUGGAUGCGGAAGACCUGGCUCCAGGAAUGACCUUCUCCAAGAUUUCCUCACCAGCACUUUCCUAUUGACUAUAUGUUAUUUCCAUCCAUUUUGAGUCGAGCCCUAGAAUAGCUCCUUGAGCUAGGCUGGAAGAGACAUGGACUUCAGAGAGAGGAAGUGACUUGCUGAAGCUCUGCCAGACUAAAGAUAAGAUGUAUCUUCACUCUGAUGGAAACAGUUUCUCCUGUCUUGGCAAGGCAGCAACAUCCACAGCUAAUUUUAAUUUUAAAUAACAUUUGUUCUAUUGCACUCAUCCACAGCAUUUUUCAUUAUUGAAUGUUGAAAAUACAAUUAGCCAAGCAUUUUGGUUAAGAAGUAGAGAUUGAGAUUUUUUAAGAAACUGAAUAAAAUAAUCUUAAUUCUGGAGGUAGAGUGGCCCAUAAAUCAGAUCUGAGUAUCAGUGACAGUUCUGAUGGUUGAGUAACCUUGUACAAAUAUACUUAAACUAGCCUUGGAUGAAUCCGCAAUCCAUGGACGAUGGUCUUCAAGCCAAAUUCUGUCAUUUCAGAAUGGAAACACUGUUUUUAGCUCAGGAGCUUGUUAUAAAAUAAAGACUGGAUGUGACCUACUAAGCCUAACAUAUAUACUAUUUGACCCUUUACAGGAAAAGUUCACCCUACCCUGGAUUAGAUGGUCUCUGAGAAUUUUUCCAACUCUCAAGGUCUGAAUGUCUGGGAUCUGGGUAGCCUAGGUGAUUCAACAUGUGUUAAGUCCAAGAUUUCGUGGGGCUCAAUUAAUGACAGUGGUUUCCGUCAUCUCUGGGGUCUUUCCAUUCCGUAUCAAAAAGGAAAAUGGGAGGGGGCAUGACUAAUCAGGGGCUGGGACUGGAAGCUACCAGAGGAUGACUUUACGGUAAACCUGCUGACGUGGUGCGUGAAGAGAGAUUUCCCUCAGCAGGUGAGCAGCAGGCAUGUACGUCAGAUACGGGAAACUGUGGGGCAGAACAUUCUGGCUUUCUAGCCGCAGCCAGGCCUGCCCAUCUGUAAUAGGUGUCAGCAGCUCCAACUGCGGUCAGCUGGACAGCUCUGGCCCCAGCCUGUGUGUGUUGGGGGGGAAGGUCAGAGGUGGAGGAGUCAGGGUGGGAGAACUGAGUCACAUUUACUGCCCCACAGGCCCUGAGAUCUUGAAUUCCACUCCGGUAAGGACUUUGUAAUGGGGACUGCUCCCCUCAGUCGCCUCUCUCUGAGGUCUGGGGAACCUGCCCUUUAGUGCAGGGUUUCGAGGGAACCCAAGUCUUCACUCCUGUUCAUCCCCAGGGAGACCGCAUGCAAGUCACCUAACUUCACUGAGACUCGGUUUUCUCAAUAGUAAGAUGGUGCCAAUGAAUCCUAAUCUACAGAGCGUCUUGGACUGUUGAGAAGGCAAAAGAUGUUACCUGGAAAAACGGUUACAAACAGGAAAGUACAAUAAGGCCCCAAAGGUUCAAGGGGAGCUUUCUUUUAAAACUAUGGUUGUUGAACGCUUACUGUGUGCUAGGCACUUGGGUGAGCUCUUUACAUGGUUUAUCCAUUUAACCCGCAAAACAUGUCCCUCUGGGACAUGUGCUACUAACGCCAUGGGAUACUAUACUGUCCUUGUUUAUGGAGAGGGUGACUGUGGGUCACCCUUUGACCUCUGAAGCUGCAGCACUGGGAUUCAGUCCCAGGUGUGAGUGAGCAAUUUCCUUGUUCCUAACCACUUUUCAAGAUCUGGAAAGACCAGGAACUUCUAGAAUUGACAUUUUUCAGUAGCUAUGAGGAUUCCUCAUUCCAUUCAUGGGAAUAGCCAAAAUUGCUUUAGACUGGCCUAUUUUUUGUCUCAUAGAAUUUUGUUUUGGCUUCUGACAAAUCACAUGGAUGAUUGCCCUUAUUAAAGCUCUCAGUUGGAGUAUUUAUACUCUUUAGUAACUUUAGAGAAAAGAAGAAAGACAAUGUUUUCCGGAAACAAACACCUAAAAAUCUCAUCCCCAAAUAAAAUAAUGAUAGCAAUGAAAAACCAGUUAAGAUGAAAUUUCAAUGUUUGAAUGAAUUUUGUGCCAUUAGAAGUUUCAGAAUUCUUUGAUUUUUAUCUUACCUCUCCCACUGCUAGUUCUUUUCUUUUCUGAUUGCAUUCUGGAUAAUUUUGAGAUGGAAACAUUUUAGAAUUACAGAUAUCCAGUCAUAUCUGAAUAAUUAUUAUCCAUUUAUGGAGUCAUGCUACAGAGUUUUCUAACCACUUUUAUUUCCAAUAAAUCAGUUGAAUUUUACAGACACCUUCUGAGUUCUGGAAAGCAUGAUGUCUGUUGUCCAUGAGAGGAAGCAGAGGCACAGGGCGGUUAACUGACUUACCUGGAAUCACACACCUAGUCCACAGCAGAGGCCGAGUUUCUAAGACUUACCCUAUCUGCCCGCCUCCUCUGGGUCAUUGUGUAUUCAACCACUGCAAAUGUUGGCUGGGUGUGUGUGCUGAGUUGCUCUAUUGUAUCUGACUCUUUGUAG